UUUUUUGUAUUUUUUUUAGUAGGGACGAGGUUUCACCAUGUUGGCCAGGCUGGUCUCGAACUCCUGACCUCAGGUAAUUUGCCUGCCUUGACCUCUCAAAGCAUUGGGCAUUACAGGCGUGAGCCACGGUGCCCAGCCUCAGAGAAGACAAUCUUUCCACAUAUCAGAAGGGUUGGGGGUGAGGGGGAUGGUUUUGAGAUGAAACUUCCACCUCAGAUCAUCAGGCAUUAGAUUUUAAUAAGGAGCACGCAACCUAGAUCCUUCCUGUGUGCAGUUCACAAUAGGGUUUGCACUCCUAUGAGAAUCUAAUUCCACCACUGAUCUCAGGCGGUAAUGCUUGCUCACCCUGCUCGCCUACUGCUAUGCUACCUGCUUCCUAACAGGCCAUGGACCAGUACCAAUUUGCAGCCCAGGGGGUUGGGGACCCCUGGUUUAAGACACCCAGUUUGUAGUGCUUUCUUAGAGCAAACUGCCAACUAAUAUACCACCUAAAUGCCGAUGAUUACCAAUUCUCCAGCUCCAAUCUCUAAGCCCCAGGCCACUUCAGGCAUUGAAUAUCCUACUAAUUUGUGCCUGAGUCUUAAUUUACAAAGGUGGCUGAGUGAGGACAUGAAGAGGUCACUGCCAUUGAAAGAAAAGCUUAAUGUUAUUCACAGUUCCCCUAGAAACAAAAGGCACAGUCACAGGGGGAAGUGCCAGUGUCACACAGGAGGCAGAAAGGAGCGAGGGGAAGGUACAGGCCUUUACUGGGGUGUACUUCUCCCAGUAAGGCCGGAGAAGUGGUUUGGGGCUGCCUAGUUUGAAUAAUCCCAGAGCACUCUGGGGCACAGGGACUGGUACUAGUUACCUGGUCCUGGGUUGAUUUAGGGCAGGGGAGAUACUGGCUUGGAAUGUGAAAGUUAGAGAAAGGAAGUGACUCAGAGUAUGAGCUCUGGAUUGCAGGGAGAUGUAAAUAACCUUGGACAUUAGGUUGGCCCUGUGAUUUAUGGAUGCCAAAGAGACAAAUACAGAACCUAAGGAAACGCAGUUAAAACACUCACCAGCACCCCAUCCUCUACAUGUCUGUGUCUAAAUGCAUCAUCUUCCUCUUCAAAUCUUCCUCUCCUCUGUUUCCCUAUCCCAGGGAUGGGCACUUUAUGUCUGUGCAGUCGGAAACCUGGGGGCCAUCCGUGUUCCUCCUUCUUCCCCUGCCUCCAGUCUACCACCAGGUUCUAUCAAUUGUGCCUCUGAUCUUGAAGCUCUUCACUCCUCUCCUGGGUAUACUCCAGUCCAGGCAUCUUUUGAGCCUGGUGUUCUGUUAGCAGCCUCCCAGUGGCCUCUUUGCUUUUACUUUCCUCCUCCUCCAAUCUAUUCUCCCAGCAACUGAAUGAUUCUCCUAAAACAUAACUCAUGUCACUCUUCCCUUCUUAAAACCCUGCGAUGGCUUUCCUCUGACCUAGGAUAAACUGCAGCAAUUAUGUGGUCCUUGACCACCCACAUGUUCCAGCCACACCAAAUUUUCUGUUCCCUUAAGACAUCCUUCACCUCCAGGCUUUUGCCUAUGCUGCCCCAUCUGCUAGAACACCCUCCCAUGAAGUCCGGGCACCCCCACAGUGCUCCCAUGACAACUGGUACUUCCCUUGUGUGGACUCUGUUAAGCCCUGAUGACUUGUGAACCUCCUAUAAGCUUUACGGUAUACU
ensembl:lncRNA